GGUCUGUAUAUGCUGUUAUUUGUGGUACACACCACAAUUAACCUACCUAUGUGCAAUUGUCUAUGACGGUAAAAGCGAGGAAGUUCUAGUGAUAUACAGUUCACGUAAACAACUUUAGGAUAUUUAACUAUUAGGGGGGAAAAACAGUGUGUACAGAAGUCAUGAUUCGUAGUGGUAUUAAGAAAACAUCUGAAGCAAUGACGAGAAUAAUAUUACGCGAGACGGAAAAAAUAUUGGGAGAGACUUGCUUAAAAAUAGGGCAGUGAAAAGGUUAAAAUAUAAUCAAAGUGUUAUGAGUUGGCAGUCACUGAUUUCAUUCUAUAUUAUCUACAGUAUGUUCCAUAUUGUACACAGAAGUGCCAGUCCUAUGAAAAAGUAGGAGCGAAAUGAAUUCAUUGAUGCCAACCUUCCAUCAGACAAAACUUCAGGAACAGAUAAACAAAUUUUAACUGCUGAUGAAAUGUCCAUAUUCUAUAAAACUUUUCUAGACAAGAACUGCAAAGUCCACAUUCGAU